AGGAUGAACGCUGGCGGCGUGCCUAACACAUGCAAGUCGAACGCGCUCCAUUCGGUAGCAAUACUGAUGAAGAGUGAGUGGCGAACGGGUGAGUAACACAUGAGCAACCUGCCCCGAAGACCGGGACAACACCGGGAAACCGGUGCUAAUACCGGAUAUCCCUAUCGGACCGCAUGAUCUGAUAAGGAAAUGGAUUCCGCUUCGGGAGGGGCUCGUGGCCUAUCAGCUAGUUGGUGAGGUAAUAGCUCACCAAGGCAUCGACGGGUAGCUGGUCUGAGAGGACGAUCAGCCACACUGGGACUGAGACACGGCCCAGACUCCUACGGGAGGCAGCAGUGGGGAAUCUUGCGCAAUGGGCGAAAGCCUGACGCAGCAACGCCGCGUGGAGGACGAAUGCUUUCUGAGUUGUAAACUCCUUUCAGCAGGACGAUUGUGACGGUACCUGCAGAAGAGCACCGGCCAACUACGCG
rnacentral:rRNA from 1 species